rnacentral:lncRNA from 1 species
GGCCAUUCCCUACCGCCCACCGUGACAUCUAACCCUCCCUGUGCUGUAGUGAAGAGCUUCAGUCUGAUCCGCGCGCUCCCUUGGCGGGGACUGCUUCCAACUGAGUAAGAGACUGAAGCUGAAGCAUACGAAAAGAAAUGCAGCCUGAAAGUGCCAAGGAGUGACUGUUUUCGCGGAGAACCGGGAUUGGAAAGAGGGAGACGUUUGCAUCGGAGAGGAGGUUGCAUUGUUGGAAGAGGACCAUGUCAUUGGACUUUGGCAGUGUGGCCCUACAAACACAAAACGAAGAUGAAGAAUAUGACAAAGAAGACUAUGAAAGGGAGAAAGAGUUGCAGCAGCUGCUCACAGACCUUCCUCACGACAUGCUGGAUGACGACCUCUCCUCCCCCGAGCCCCAGGACUCGGACUGCAGUGAGGACGACCCGGCGGGACGACCACACCCUUCUGAGCAGUUGGAGAUGCACUGGAAUACGCACCGAGUGCUGCCCAGAUCUCCAAGUGCAAAUGGUUAUGUAGGAGAGACGUGUGGCCAUGGCUGGGAAGAAAAUCAAAGUCAAGCUAAAGACCGACAUCCUGGGUACCGCCCGGAGGAAGGUGGUGAUGAAGGCGGAAGUGGUUAUAGUCCCCCAGGCAAAUGUGAACAGACCGAUUUGUAUCACCUGCCGGAGAACUUCAGGCCAUAUACGAAUGGUCAGAAGCAGGAGUUCAAUACCCAGCCGACCAAUGUAAUUAAAUUUUCAGAUCCUCCAAGGAACCAUUUUCAGCAAUUUGGUUCAACACAAGGUCCUAGUGGUCAAGCUUUGGACCCAUAUAAAGUGACAUAUAAACCGUAUCAACCUUCUGUCCAGAAUAAUGGCUCGCCAAGCCAGGAGAUAGUGGGAAGUGACACGUUUGAAGGCCUGCAACAACAAUUUUUAGGAGCUAAUGAAAAUUGUGCAGAGAAUAUGCAGAUUGUUCAGCUUCGGGUUCUUAACAAAGCAAAAGAGAGACAGCUGGACAACUUAGCUGAGAAAUUAAAUGAAAGUGAACGUCAAAUCCGCUACCUGAAUCACCAGCUUCUGAUAAUCAAAGAUGAGAAAGAUGGUUUGACCCUCAGCCUUCGAGAAUCACAGAAGCUCUUUCAGAGUGGGAAGGAAAGGGAGAUACAGCUUGAAGCACAAAUCACAGCACUGGAGACCCAAAUACAAGCAUUAAAAGUCAACGAAGAAAAGCUGAUCAAGAAGUCCCGGACAACUGAAAUGGCUCUGGAGAGCUUGAAGCAGCAACUGUUGGACCUUCGUCACUCUGAGUCACUCCAGCGAGCCCGAGAACAGCACGAGAGCAUUGUCACGGGCCUCACGAAGAAGUAUGAGGAGCAGGCGUUGUCCUUACAGGAGAAUUUGGAUGCUACGGUUGCUGCCCUUAAGGAACAGGAAGACAUCUGCUCUCAUUUAAAAGACCACGUGAAACAGCUGGAAAGGAAUCAAGAAGCUACCAGAGUGGAGAAGACCGAGGUCAUCAGCAGGCUGUCGAGGAGCCUGGAGGAGACGCAGAAGCAGUGCGCCCACCUGCUGCAGUCAGGCUCCAUCCAAGAGGUGGCCCAGUUGCGGCUCCAGCUGCAGCAGGCACAGAAAGCACAUGUGCUGAGUGAAAACAUGAACAAGGCCCUACAGGCGGAAUUAACAGAACUAAAAGAUGAAAUUUCUCUCUAUGAAUCUGCUGCAAAACUAGGAAUACUCCCAAGUGACUCAGAAGGAGAAUCAAAUAUAGAACUUGGUGAAUCAUAUGUGGAUUUGGGUAUUAAAAAUGUCAACUGGAAAAAAUCCAAAGUUAACAGCACUGUGCAGCAGGAAGACCUUAAUGAGGAGCUUUCCAAGGAUGAGGUCAUCCUGAGGCUGAAGGCGGAUGUGCAGCGUUUGCUGGACAGCAACUCAGUGAAGCGUCACCUGGUGUCUCAGUUACAGAGUGACCUCAGGGCCUGUCACCAGGAAAUCGAGAAUCUCCAGCAAGUGAAGAAGGAUGGCAGGAGUGUGGAGGUUGAGAUGAAAAUUGAUACCUUAGAAAAACCAGUGACUCCAUUAUGGCCUGACUCUUCUUCUGAUGUGAUUGUCCAAGAUGAUGUUCUCCAGCUUAAAAAUGAAAUUCAAGUUUUACAACAACAAAAUCAGGAACUUAAAGAAGCCGAAGAAAAGCUGAGAAAAACAAAUCAGGACUUGUGUAGUCAAAUGAGACAAAUGCUACAGGAUUUUGACCGUGAUAAACAGGAAGUUGAGGAUAGGUGUGAGCGGACUUACCAGCAGCACCACGAAGCCAUGAAAGCCCAAAUCCGUGAGAUCCUGUUAGCAAAGCACACUUUGGAGAAGCAGCAGCUCUUUGAGGCUUAUGAAGGGACUACCUUGCAACUCCGGUGA